UACGUAGGGGGCAAGCGUUGUCCGGAAUCAUUGGGCGUAAAGAGCGUGUAGGCGGCCAGAUAAGUCCGCUGUGAAAUCUCGAGGCUCAACUUCGAGCUGUCGGUGGAAACUGUCUGGCUAGAGUCCGGAAGAGGAGAAUGGAAUUCCUGGUGUAGCGGUGAAAUGCGCAGAUAUCAGGAAGAACACCCGUGGCGAAGGCGGUUCUCUAGUACGGUACUGACGCUGAGACGCGAAAGCGUGGGGAGCGAACAGG
rnacentral:rRNA from 1 species